CACUCCUGCGGGAGGCAGCAGUGGGGAAUUUUGGACAAUGGGCGAAAGCCUGAUCCAGCAAUGCCGCGUGAGUGAAGAAGGCCUUCGGGUUGUAAAGCUCUUUUGUCAGGGAAGAAACGGUGAAAGCUAAUAUCUUUUGCUAAUGACGGUACCUGAAGAAUAAGCACCGGCUAACUACGUGCCAGCAGCCGCGGUAAUACGUAGGGUGCAAGCGUUAAUCGGAAUUACUGGGCGUAAAGCGUGCGCAGGCGGUUUUGUAAGUCUGAUGUGAAAUCCCCGGGCUCAACCUGGGAAUUGCAUUGGAGACUGCAAGGCUAGAAUCUGGCAGAGGGGGGUAGAAUUCCACGUGUAGCAGUGAAAUGCGUAGAUAUGUGGAGGAACACCGAUGGCGAAGGCAGCCCCCUGGGUCAAGAUUGACGCUCAUGCACGAAAGCGUGGGGAGCAAACAGGAUUACAUACCCCGGUAGUCCCAU
rnacentral:rRNA from 1 species